GAAAGCAUAGGCAUGCUCCAUUAAUACAGCACUUCUGUAAAUCUAUAAAGACAGAGUGAAACUGCAAAGCCACACAGACGGGGGCUCUGCGGACACGCAUGGAGUGGCUCCAGACGGACGAGUCACAAUUACGGAAAACCAGGAUCGAGACAUCGCUGCAACGUGAGAGCCGAGCCCACGUCGCACUGUCAAGCGGCAAAAUUAGCGUGGCAUCGCCUUACAGAUAAAUAUGGACGCUGCCGGACGCCACGAUGUCAGCGUGUCAAGCAAACCGACUAGAUCCGAUACGUAUCGCCGUACCUAAAUGUGCUGGAAGUCGGCUGAAGUACAAAGCGGACCCAGCUAUCAAACGUGGCACUCGCCCUGCCGGCCCCCGGAGGGUGGGCUCCCCCUUUGAGUCUGGUCCCUCCCAAUGUUUCUUCCUUCUAGGGAGCUUUUCCACUUGCCACUGUCGCCUACGGCUUACUCACUGCGGGUGCUGUAAAGCGCUUAGAGACGAUGUAAUGUUGUGAUAACGCGCCAUACAAAAAUACAUUUGUUUGUUGUUUGUAGCACUUCAGCUUAAGACAAACAAGGGCGGCUGCAAACGCGACAAAAAAAAAACCGAACAACAGCUGACCUUCUGCAUUCCUCACAGACCCUCCUGAUCCUUCUGUGGCAGAAACAAGUUGAUUAGUCAACCGAUCUUAAAGUCAAUACAAAGUGGAAGCAGGAGGGCUUAAGGUGAAAAAAUUAGGUUCAUCCAUCCAUCCAUCCAUCCAUCUAUAAAAUGUAUCCAGUACAGCAUCACGGAGACCCUGGACCCAGGAAUCAGAAAGGCACGAUCAGGAUGGCAAUCCAUUGCAGGGCAGACAGUGAUACUCUGGGAAACUUAGAGACAUUGUUACACCCUGAAACACUCACAGCCAGGAUGAAGAAUGUAGUGAUCAAGCAGGGAAUCCUUGAGGAGAGCUUUGGGAACCACUGACCUAAACUGAAAUGUCAGUUUUUAUUCACAGCAAUGAAGGUUUCUGUGGAUCAAUGCAGAGGCAAUGAAACAUCACGACAGCAACCUACACCAAGCCAUAAUGAUUCUACAUGAUCGACUGAGCAUUUGUUUUCCUUUCCCACUGCGAGAGUCACAGGCAGCCCUCUACAAUUCCCAGUGAGCAUUUUCGCCGUCAUAUACGGUAUUCUUUACAGUUCUGUAGCACCGAGGGUUCAUGGGAAAAUGAGUAUGGAAAAUGGAAGGUAGGAGUCAUGCCUUGAACUACAGGAGCCACAUUAGUUACCAGAAGGAAUGAAGAUGCUGGAUGUUUUUACUGACAUCAGAAAACUACAUUUUACUUCAGGAAGUCGUGACACAGAUAAUAUCAGUAACAUCCUGGGCUGCUGUUCAAUACACUGACAUUGUGCAGAGAUCAACAAAAUUGAAUUAAUGUAAUUUUUGAGCGAACUUCCAUUUCAAACCGGAAGAAAUGCUGCAUAUCUGUACUGCCGUUUGCCUGCACCAAACAUUUAUGGGUUUUGAGGCAAAAGGGUUUGUGAAAAUGUAACAAUAUACUGUAUAAAUAAUUAAAUGCAAUGACUGAGUCCUUAUUUA